rnacentral:rRNA from 1 species
UACGAAGGGUGCAAGCGUUACUCGGAAUUACUGGGCGUAAAGCGUGCGUAGGUGGUUUGUUAAGUCUGUUGUGAAAGCCCCGGGCUCAACCUGGGAACGGCGCGCGAGACGGGGGGGCUGGAGUUCGGGAGAGGAGCGUGGAAUUCCCAGUGUAGAGGUGAAAUUCGUAGAUAUUGGGAAGAACACCGGUGGCGAAGGCGGCGCUCUGGACCGAGACUGACGCUGAGGCGCGAAAGCGUGGGGAGCAAACAGG